AGGGAUGGAACAGAUGACGACGAAGAAGAUUAAGUAAAAAAGGUAAAGGGAGACGAGAUGGUGACAAGUAUCUCUUUUUUUUAUUGCCUUUUUCAUAUUACCUAUUACCGCAAACUGAUAUAUUUCUCAAAGGAGAAAUAGUAAAGUGGAAGAGGUUUGGGUCUCUUGGUAACCGGACUACAUUUGCAAGUUGCAUCUUCCAUCGAAGUAUUAAUUCCCUCCAUCCUCUUCUCACUAACACCGGCACGAUUUUAAAAAUUUUUCAACUCCGUUGUUGAAUUACGUAUUCCUCUUUAUGGUAAGCGCUAAGAUGAACAGCGCUGAAAAGCAAAAUUUGAAUGCUUGAAAUUCAGAACAUGACUAUUCGUUCAGUACUCGCUUCAUUUGCAUCCUUAGUUAAUUUGGCCUGAAUUACUUUUUGAAUUCAAGAGAUAGUGCAUAAAAUGCGGCCCCCCUUUCCAGCUUCCAUAAAUUGCGCUGAUUGCAUGUCUGACUAAGCUUUUUUUUUUUUUUAAGCGACCUUGUCUCGAGGAGCAUAAUAAAAAAAAGGGAGUAAGGUCGGCGGCAGUCGCUUUUAUUAAACUGAAGUAAAACAGAACAAAAAUUACUUAAGGGUCGCUAAUAUUACCCUUAUCCUCUCAACAAAAGAUAAGAAAUUAAUUGACCUAUACCUAUAAUACCUAAUAAACCCAAAAGUGUCUUGCUCUGAUGUAUUUGUUUUUUUUAACACAACCUUGCUACCUUAGGCCAUCGAGAAGAGAUUGAGGUCAAAGUGGAAGCGUUGGAAAAGAAGGAAGACCCAUAGUAUAAUGAAGCUAGUUACCAUCCUUAGACGACGCCCAUAUUUUUCAAUUUCUCUUAUUUUUUUUUUACGCAGCGUAGCAGUUAUGGACAAAAGCCGGCCU